UUAACCGACACACCUCUUCCCCAUUUCUUUCUUCAUCCUCAUCAUCUUUUACCUUCAAACUCUCAAUCCCUCUUUUCCCUCUUCUCUUACGUCCCACUCCCCUCACCCACAGCGGCGGCACAACCAAGCCCAGCCACGAGUUCCACCACCAACAGCAACCACUUGUCCUCCUCCCUUUAUUGUUGGUAACCAUUUUUCCCUCUUUUGUUGUUUUGUUUUCAAAUUUAAAUGUUAGGGUUUUGUUAAUUCAUUUGGGGAUUUUGUGACUCAAUUUGAAGUUUAAGAUUGCAAGGUCCUUCAAUGGUGAUUGAGGAGACGAUAUCAUCGAAGAACCCUUCUAGUUGAUAGCUGGAUUCAUUACCUUGAAGCGACAUCGUCGUUUGAUCACAGAUCGGACCCGGUCGGGAACGAUGGGUUAACGGUGUUGAAUAGCGUUCCAAGGAUGUAUAUUGAGCUGAGCACGUAGUAAUUUGUAGUUUUGUAUUAGGUUUUUGGAUAAAUGUAUAUUUGUUUUGGCUGUGCCGGUUAUAUCGGACUUGUAGAGAAUUGUAUGAUUAUCUUGUGUAUUAGUUAGAUGUUGGCUUUGGGAUUUAGCUGAGUUAGUCACAUUGAAGAGCUUGUGACCCCUUUGCUUGAGAAACGAAUCCAGUGAUGACCCUGUUUACCCAGUCAACGGUAAGUCGGGUUGUUACACCUGAGACCUCUUGUCACGUUGGCUUCUGAAACCAUGUUAAGGAACCAACUCAACCAAAAGCUUAAACUGAUGGUUGAGGCCCGAAGAUAUGUUAUAUACUCUACACUAAUGACUAAAACAAGAAAAAAUGAUGCCUAACUAGAGACACACUUCAAUGCUGUUAAGUUGUUCAACGAGCCUUUUUCCUAGCCUCGAGAACCAUCGUAAGCUUUCGCAAACUCUAUGAUCACACAUACUGAAGGGCUAAGUUGCUAUAAUGUUCGUUUUUCAAUGGAAAUCAACAAUCGAAGCUUAUCGUAUUCAGUAUUCAAUAUUGAUGCUCGUUAUAGACAAACCGUAAAAUCAAAGACUGUCUAAAAACUGUAGCAGUACUUAUCUUAAGUACUUGACCAAAUGCAGAAACCAUGUGACGCAAAAUAACUUAACAAUCUCCCUCCAUCACAAAGGUAUGUUUCAUCGCUUUGUUUAUAUGAGUUUUCAUUUAAUUAAAUUGGAAUGUAUCUUUGGAACGUAGGAAGUAUU